UUAAAAUGAUCACAAAUAUAUCUCAAUUUAAUCUUAAUUUAAUCCUAGUUAAAAUCCUAUUGGACUUUAUUCAAACUUUAGGCCAAUAACUAACUAAAUCUUAAACCCUAAAUAAAUCCUAAUAAAAUCUUAAAAAAAUCCUAAACAAAUCUUAAACCCUAUACCAAAUCCUAUAUCUUAAAUUUUAAAUCAAAUCCUAACCAAACUCUAAACCAAAUCCUAACCAAAUCCUAAAGUCUAAAUCAAAUCUUAAUUAAAUCCUAAUCAAAUCCUAAAUCCUAAAUCAAAUCUUAAUCAAAUUCUAAAUUCUAUUUUUAAAUCAAACCCUAAUAAAAUCCUAAAUUCUAAAUCAAAUCCUAAUC
rnacentral:lncRNA from 1 species